CUGUGAUAACGUGAUGAUGAUAAUGUGUUGCUUGUGUAUUGUUUUAUGGAUCUCACUAGGUAAAUGGAAAGUAAACGUUUUUAUGAACAAAUGGGUUUAUUAGAAAUUAUACUCAAUUGGUCGUUUUUAUUUUCUACCCACCCUUACUCCUGUGGCAGUGAGGUAGAGUGAUAUCUUUACUGGGCUAGUGUAGCUCACUCCUUACUUAACCAUUUCAGAUCAGGAAGACGUGGUUCCCGAGCCCGUUCCGCAGGAAGACGGUGAAGGGGACGCCUGAAGACUCCGUAGUUAU
rnacentral:lncRNA from 1 species